UCGGGAAUUUUGGGCAAUGGGCGAAAGCCUGACCCAGCAACGCCGCGUGAAGGAUGAAAUCCCUCGGGAUGUAAACUUCGCAAGAACGGGAAGAAUAAGUAAGAGUUAAUAUCUCUUACGAUGACGGUACUGUUUGUAAGCUCCGGCUAACUCCGUG
rnacentral:rRNA from 1 species